UUCCCUAAAAAACAUCUCACAUCAUUCCAUCCAUAAAUACCAACCUAAAGACUUUUAUCACCCAAAUUUUAGUCCAUCACCCACAUAGAAAACAUCGAAAAGAUCUCUCCUCUAUCCAUCAAUUCAUGUUCUUCAUACACAUAUAAAACAUAAAAAAGAUUCAUCCGCAGAAAGCAAAUUUUUGAGUGGUCAAAAUCAAGAAAUCGAGCAUGUUACUUCUUGUCUGACAUGGAGUUCACAAGAGAUGAACUUACAGUACCUAUAUUGGUAAAACUACCUGGACUUGAUUUUAAAUAUUGGAGUUCAAAAAGGAUUAAAUAAAAUUGAUAGUCCAGUGGGAAAACCUUUAAUGAUGGACCAACACACAGAGAAGAAAGUUGGGUUAAACUUUGCAAGGCUGCUAAUUGAAGUAGAGAUGGAUGUGGAAAUAUGGUUCAGCAAGAGUGUUGUAUGAUUGGAAGCCUUCCUUGUGUAUACACUGCAAAAAGUACGGGCAUAAUGAAGGGGAAUGUCGGAAGAAGAAGGAUGCAAAUGUGAAUACAAGGGUGGGAUGAGGAAAAGAAGGGCAGGAAGUCCAAGUUCGAGACGCAGCAACAAGGGAGAAUGAAGUGGAAGGUUCAGCACAAAGGAAUACAUAAGGGGAAACAAAACAUGACUACUCUAAAUGGGAAGAUAACACCUGUCCAUACAAACCCAAGGAGGAAGACUCAUAGUUCAAACAUUUGCAACAAUUGGAGAUGAGCCAUGAAUUUCAAAAUAUUUUUGGCAAAUAUUACUUAGACUGAAAAUAAGUUCCUGUCCCCCAAAAUGCCAGCCAAUAAAGACCAAUAUCAUGUUGUCAUGUGCUUUAUAAGAUCAUCUCAAAGCUGAUAUGUUCAAGACUGAAAGAAGUAUUUGGAUGCUUGGAAGCUGAGAAUGAAGCCGCAUUUGUACUUUAAAAUAUCACUUAUCCAUGAAGAAAAUAAUUCUUACCUCAAAAUACUUUAUUUUACUGUAUUGUGUUAUAUCAAGAAAAUUGUACACUUCUUAUUGAUUACAAUACAUGCAAUUUUAUAGAGUUUA